UACGUAGGGUCCGAGCGUUGUCCGGAAUGUCUGGGCGUAAAGAGCUCGUAGGUGGUUUGUCGCGUUGUUCGUGAAAACUCACAGCUCAACUGUGGGCGUGCGGGCGAUACGGGCAGACUAGAGUACUGCAGGGGAGACUGGAAUUCCUGGUGUAGCGGUGGAAUGCGCAGAUAUCAGGAAGAACACCGAUGGCGAAGGCAGUUCUCUGGGACGGUACUGACGCUGAGACGCGAAAGCGUGGGGAGCGAACAGG
rnacentral:rRNA from 1 species